rnacentral:rRNA from 1 species
GACGAACGCUGGCGGCGUGCUUAACACAUGCAAGUCGAACGGAAAGGCCCUGCGUUUGUGUGGUUCUCGAUUGGCGAACGGGUGAGUAACACGUGAGUAACCUGUCCCUGACUUUGUGAUAACUCCAGGAAACUGGGGCUAAUACCGGAUAUGAUCUUCUGCUGCACGUUGGUGGUUGGAAAGAUUCGGCGUUUGUGUAUGGUCUCGCUGCUUAUCAGCUGGUUUGUGGGGUAGUGGCUUACCCAGGCUUUGACGGGUAGCGGGCCUGAGAGGGUGACAGGCCACAUUGGGACUGAGAGACGGCACAAGCUGCUACGGGAGGGAGCAGUGGGGAAUAUUGAACAAUGGGCGGAAGCCUGAUGCAGCAAGGCCGCGUGCGGGAUAACGGCCUUAGGGUUGUAAAACGCUUUCGCAUGUGACGAAGCGUGAGUGACGGUAAUGGGUAAAGAAGAACCGGCUAAAUACGUG